UAGAGACCCUGCUGCCUAGACAACCUGUUUGCUGAAACGCUUGCGGGGAAGACUUCAGAGCAGUGCGCCAGGCCUUUGCCCGCGCCGCCCCGGUGAUCCCAACAGGAGUUCGUUUGUGUGCUUGUGUGAGCCGGCCUAGCCUUUCCUCCUCAUCAAGAGAAAGGUUGGCAACUGUUAGUCAUUCAUUCCUGACCGCUGUCCCUCCGGCUGGCGUCACUGUGCCAAGAUGGUGGGUCUGCAACAGUCUUUCUUCACCCUGCUGCCCUGCCUCUCUGGUUUCAGGUGGUGGCCAAGGGAGCAUCCAGAGCCCACUGGAGCAAAGCCUUGUUCUAAGGCUGAACCAAGCACAUCCAAAUGGGCCUGGCCCACUUGGGCAACUGGGGAAGAGCAUGCACAGCAUUCUGAGCAGGGCUGGAAGAACACCAGAGGGAUGAAUCAGAGGCUCUCAAAGUAUGCAGUAAGUCAGAGGCAAUCCCCCCUCAUCUUACCCCGGGGAGGGCAGCAAAAAGCAGGAGGGGGUCUCUAAAAGAGAAGGUAGCGAAGGACACACCACAGACCCCCUCCCUGUGAUCUUUGGUACCCUGGGCAUUGUGGGACCAGAGGCUACAAGGAAAGCCAGAAAGUGAACCUUAAUUCUAG
rnacentral:lncRNA from 1 species